GAUGAACGCUGGCGGCGUGCCUAAUACAUGCAAGUCGAGCGAACAGACGAGGAGCUUGCUCCUUUGACGUUAGCGGCGGACGGGUGAGUAACACGUGGGUAACCUACCUAUCAGACUGGGAUAACUUCGGGAAACCGGAGCUAAUACCGGAUAAUAUUUCGAACCGCAUGGUUCGAUAGUGAAAGAUGGCUUUGCUAUCACUUAUAGAUGGAUCUGCGCCGUAUGAGCUAGUUGGUAGGGUAACGGCUUACCAAGGCAACGAUACGUAUCCGACCUGAGAGGGUGAUCGGCCACACUAGAACUGAGACACGGUCCAGACUACUACGGGAGGGCGCAGUAGGGAAUCUUCCGCAAUGGGCGAGAGCCUGACGGAGCAACGCCGCGUGAGUGGUAGAGGUCUUCGGAUCGUAAAACUCUGUUAUUAGUGAAGAACAAACGUGUAAGUAACUGUGCACGUCUUGACGGUACCUAAUCAGAAAGCCACGGCUAACUACGUG
rnacentral:rRNA from 1 species